UAGGAUUUGAAAGAGCUCAACUCGAACUCCAUCACCUCCACUAGCUUUGUUCUCAGUGAUGCUUCCUAAGGCCCACUUGACUUCACAUUCCAGGAUGUCUGGCUCUAGGUAUAAGUGCUGAUAAAAGUUUCCUAGAAACAAGCAAUAUCCCUCCAUUUCUAAAACUCUGCUGGAGAAGAGAAGCUAAGCCAGAAGCUAUUUCUUCAGAGAGAUACAACUGAUGAAUUUUUGACAAUACUAAUCAUGGGGGGAAAAGUAAAUAUGAAUAAACAAUAUUAAGAAUGGAAAUCACAAUGUAAUUGCAAAGUCAAGAAAAAAUAAAUGUAAUAAGAUUGAAACAAUGAUUGUAUACUAACAUAUUUGAAAAUAGAUGAAAUGAGAAAAUUCACAGGAAACAACAGAUUAUGGCAGAG
rnacentral:lncRNA from 1 species